rnacentral:rRNA from 2 species
GGUCGGGAACCACUGGAACGGUGGCUAAUACCGGAUGUGCCGAGAGGUGAAAGGUUAACUGCCUGGAGAUGAGCUCGCGUCUGAUUAGCUAGUUGGUGGUGUAAGGGACUACCAAGGCGACGAUCAGUAGCUGGUCUGAGAGGAUGAUCAGCCACACUGGAACUGAGACACGGUCCAGACUCCUACGGGAGGCAGCAGUGGGGAAUUUUCCGCAAUGGGCGAAAGCCUGACGGAGCAAUACCGCGUGAGGGAGGAAGGCUCUUGGGUUGUAAACCUCUUUUCUCAGGGAAUAAGCAAGUGAAGGUACCUGAGGAAUCAGCAUCGGCUAACUCCGUGCCAGCAGCCGCGGUAAUACGGAGGAUGCAAGCGUUAUCCGGAAUGAUUGGGCGUAAAGCGUCCGUAGGUAGCAGUGUGUGUCUAUUGUUAAAGAGUUUGGCUUAACCAAAUAAAGGCGGUAGAAACUACACAGCUAGAGUGCGUUCGGGGCAGAGGGAAUUCCUGGUGUAGCGGUGAAAUGCGUAGAGAUCAGGAAGAACACCGGUGGCGAAAGCGCUCUGCUAGGCCGCAACUGACACUGAGGGACGAAAGCUAGGGGAGCGAAAGGGAUUAGAUACCCCUUGUAGUCAAAA